UACAAAGGGGGCUAGCGUUGCUCGGAAUUACUGGGCGUAAAGGGCGCGUAGGCGGACAGUUUAGUCAGAGGUGAAAGCCCAGGGCUCAACCUUGGAACUGCCUUUGAUACUGACUGUCUUGAGUUCGGGAGAGGUGAGUGGAAUGCCGAGUGUAGAGGUGAAAUUCGUAGAUAUUCGGCGGAACACCAGUGGCGAAGGCGACUCACUGGCCCGAUACUGACGCUGAGGCGCGAAAGCGUGGGGAGCAAACAGG
rnacentral:rRNA from 1 species